GGUGGAUGGGACUGCUCCUCCCUUAAUCAGAGGUCUCGUGGGUAUGGAAAACUCUUUUGUAGGGAGCGCUUCCUCCCGAAUGGAACCCUACGCAGCGCAAAUACGGAUAUAGUCAAGCUCCAAUGCGGAUACCGGACACUGGGUGGGAAAACAAAAAAAUAGGUCAAAAAAGCUAACAAUUGCCCAACAUAACUAAUACAUGUACAAAAAGUUAUUUUGGCAGUAGCAUAUGCAAAUAAAAUCUUAAACUAUAAGGUUUCAAACACCAAAGGAUAUAAAAAUUGUUUGUUUGGCUACAUGUGGAAGAAAAAGUAGUUGCAAGAAAAGGAUUCCCAGUUGUAAUUGACAUUGUUCUCAUCAUCUUCUCUAACCAACCCUAUCUUUAUGAAUUCUCCAGCGCUUCCAAUUGUCUACCAUCUCCUUGGCUUAUUCCCUCUUCCUAUUUGGCUCGCACCUUCUUCAUGUUUUAGUUUGGCAGCAACACAGUUCUUUAGUACAACAUUCCUCUACAAUAUACUACCAUGCUGCUCUUCAAACCAGUAAGGCACUGCCUAGAAGUUCUAAACCUGGUGCAACAAUAAACAUCACGUUAAACCUACGUCCAGCUUUGUCUAAUUUCCUCUUUUUCCAAAUAACUUUUUGCCUGCAACAAUAACAUGAGGAUCGAGAUAAGGCGCCAUGUCAAUUGAAGCAGCCCAUAGAAUGUGACUAUUAGAGGCAUUCCUAUGGCACUUUAGUCAUGAUUUUGUGGAUUCUUCUUCUUUGCCAUAGUAAGCACUUUCUGAACUUUACUAAGCGCAUUCAUCUUUCUUCCAUAUAAGAAAAAGACACCUAUAGUGGAAGACAAUGCUUUAGGCCAGAUCCAUGUAGAUAUCCUAUGCCUCGUCAAAAUUAUCAAGAGUAAUAAUUUCUAAGAUUACAGCCAAUCAAGAAAUAAAGUAGUAAGAUUGUUAAGUUUUCUCUUAAGCAAUGACAAAUAAGACCAAACAUGGUCAAAUGAGUCCUGCAAGUUCUCUUUCUAAUGAGGGCAUAUCAAAUACACAAGAAUCAUAUCCUUCAAAAUUAAAUCCCACACUUCCCAAAAUUUACAUUGAAAAUUUUCCUGGAAGGUUCUUAGUGACAGGAGACUUUAAAUUCGAGCAGGAGCAGCUUUAAUGUAAGCAUCAUCGUCCACAUGACAACAUAAAACUAUUAGUUUGGGUAACCAAAAUGCCAAGUCAUUCUUCUUUUUUUUUAAAAAAAAAUAAUAAUUCUAUCAAUAGAUUCGAGUAUGCUAGCCAUUACGCCUUUGACAUGUGCAUCAAUUUUCAAACACAACAUUGGCCACUAUGUCAUUUUAAUAAAUAGUACAUAUUGUAAGAGGUUGUGAAGAAGUGGGUGUUAGGUCAUCUUACUACCUAACCUCAAGAAAAUUAUUCAGUUAAAAUAUCUUUCAACUUAGCUAAUUAUACCAUUAGAAACAGUUACCGUAAGCAUCAUUUGGAGUUUAAAAAGACCUUAUGUCGAAAGAAAUUAUUUAAUUUGACACAAACACAAUUAUAUGUAUAUAACACUAUAUACCUAAACAAAAAAAUGUUCUACAAUCAAUGCAUAUAAACUACAACGCAUAAGUGUUAUCUUUCUCAUAUAACUGCAUAAUAGAUCGUAGCUAGAAACCCAAAAGUAUAUUGCUGCACACAAAGGAAAAGAUAAAUCCAGGGGAAAGAAAUAGAAUAAGUAGAUAAAAAUUGAAAUCUUGUCAAGGAUGACAGAAUUUCAAAUAAGAAGUUCCUCUUCAAUAUACAUAUUCAUUUGUGCGUCAGAGUCCGAUCAUCUGAAUUUGAGCUUUAUUUUUCUAUGCCUUUGUGCAACAUUUUUUAUAUCAAAUCUACCCAGUAAAAUCAGUCAUCUAAAUACUAGUAUCAUCUAUCUUUUUCCUUUUUUUGGUUGAAUGAGAUGUAAGACUCUAUUUUGAAUAUUCAUAAUUUACCUUUAAUUAAAACAUAGAAGUUAUACUCCAACUAAGAGACUACUUCGUGAAAAACUCUUUAUUCGUUGUAUAGCCAUUAAUUACUUGCACCUUAUUAGGAAUGGCCACUUAUUUCUUCUUCUUUUUCUGAGCAUAUUGUCAAAUGCAUAAAUUCAUAUUCUGAUAGAAGAGGAGCAGUAUAAAAUCUAUAAUACUUUAUCAGCAAUAUACAAAAUAUAUCUUCACCAGUCCAGUUACUCAAUUUAGAAGAGUAUUAAAUAUGUCAGUCUAAGUUCAAUAAAUAAUAAAGAUUUAUAGUGAGCCAUGCUACUCUUGUCAAAAGUUAAGGCUAAUGUCUGAUAUACAUAUAUAGUUGAUAUAGCAUGUCUUCCCGGUGAAAGACUGUGAUGUUAGAUUAUUCAUAGUUUUAGUGCUACAUCUUGAUGUGCUUAAAUUUCUCUAUCCAUUCUCCUAAAUUUCUUGAACCCAAAUAUAAAAUAUUAUGCUCCCUGCCAAGAAUCUACCCAUCAAAAUGUAAUUUCAUUAUUUGCAUUAAAUUUGACAAUUAUACAAUAAUAUGCCUUGUACGAAUCCUUAAAGAAACUACAGAAAGACAGCAAGUAUGAAGCCUUGCACUAUACCUGAAGUAAAAGAAAUUUAUGAUGUCAAGUAGUGCGAUUCUUUCACUCUACCUCAAAAGCCAAGAGCUAGCAUAGGCUAAAAGAUACAGAUAGUUAUUAUUUUUCUCAUCGAGUAAGAAAGCAAUCCUUCAAUGGGAAGGUAGAAGCAUCAACAGAAGCAUCACAACAAAAUUAUGGAAUCCACAAUAUAAACACAACCUUUUAGCUAAGCUGGUAGUAACAAUAAGUAAAAGUAAGUGUUACACAGGAAGGGAAGAGGAAAAAAUGACAGUGGUACAUCUGAGUAGUGCUAGCUCCGCAUGGACUAAAUGUUCAACAUGUUCGAGAAAUUAUAGCAACCAAAGAUGACCAAAUAAAAACUUCAAGAUUUAUGACUGGAUAAAUUAUUGUUAUUGCAACUCUUUUGUUUAUUUUAUUCUUCUUGAAUUUCAGUUAUAUAACCGUGCAUUAAGCACCAAUCUGACAGAUAAGUUAGUAAUAUAGAAGUACUACUUUAAAAAAAACUGCAUUGAUUUCUUUUGAAUACAGAGAUGGAGUAACAUAGAGAUGAUCAGCAGUAAUCCAAACUGAGCAGGAUCUUUUGCUUUAUUAAUAAUAUAGGUGAUGUAUCAACUUUUUUCUACUAUUAGGGAAAACUUUAAUUCCCUUUCUGAAAAAGAUAUGGAUUUCUUUAAAUAUAAUUGUACCUGAAAAAUGACUUAAAGUGAAUUCAUGUUUCUAAAGCUAAGAAAAAUUCUAGGAGAGUCAAACGUAUGAAGCUUAAGCACUUCGCCAAAGUAAAAAUAGCAUCAUUUAUAGUGCUAUAUCCACUUUUUUAGAAUACGUGCUACUAUUGAAAAGAGUAUAACUUACAGUGUUGAACUCCACUUCUUUCAGAAUAUUUACUACUACAUGAUGUGAUUCUUCUCUGCUGUUUUGCUUUNNN
rnacentral:lncRNA from 1 species